rnacentral:rRNA from 1 species
AACAAACGCUGGCGGCGUGCCUAAUACAUGCUAGUCGAACGGGGAAAGCUUUCGGGUGAGUACUAGUGGCGCACGGGUGAGUAACGCGUGGAUAAUCUGCCUUAGAGUGGGGGAUAACUAGUCGAAAGAUUAGCUAAUACCGCAUAAGACCACAAGAACUGCGGUUCAAGGGGUCAAAGGUUUUUCGCUCUAAGAUGAGUCCGCGUAAGAUUAGCUAGUUGGUGAGGUAAUGGCUCACCAAGGCGACGAUCUUUAACUGGUCUGAGAGGAUGAUCAGUCACACUGGAACUGAGACACGGUCCAGACUCCUACGGGAGGCAGCAGUGAGGAAUAUUGCACAAUGGAGGAAACUCUGAUGCAGCGACGCCGCGUGAGUGAUGAAGGCCUUCGGGUCGUAAAGCUCUGUCGCAAGGGAAUAACACAAUGAAUGUACCUUGCAAGAAAGGAUCGGCUAACUUCGUGCCAGCCGCCGCGGUAAAAC